GAACUAUUCAUAUAUUUAAUUUUAAGGUUUUUGUUUUCCCUUCUCAAGAAGUUACAUUCAGAGAAUGAUAAGAGUAAUAUGAAGCUCAAACCUAACUAAAGAAUAAUCAGCAACCAGCCCUUUUUCGGUGAGAGUGGCCCCAGAGGAUAGCAUGCAACGAUGAAGAAGAGAGAACGAGCAGUAAAAGCAGCAGAGGUUGUCCUCGCUCACCCACUUGUGAUGGUUGCACUCCAUGUGUCUGUUUUGGGUGCCUCAAGUGCAGGUUAGUUGACUGUAAUUGUCGAAUCUGCGUGGACUACAUGCAGACAGACAUGGAUUGAUAUCGAUCGAGUCCAGAUUAAAUUUUUAUCGCUGCAUACAGAAUGCAGAGCCGUAGGUUCCCUAAGCUUUCCGUUUUUUUUGCAAUGCUUUCUUGCCAAGGUCAGGUAAGAAGAGGGUGAAAAUUUGAGUCCUAAAAGCCUUACAGUUUGGAGUUGUGAAGUAGAUUUCACUCUGUUUCCUUGCCAUUUAACCAGUUAAUAUUGAUGCUUGCAUGUUGCUUGCAAUUUACCAUUCCCAGCGCAUGAAGCUUGUUACAUUAAAAUUAGACAAUAGUGGAACUGUUAAACAUGUUGACAUUCACAAUACUGGCCAAGUUGGAAUGACUGUUAGGAGUUCAACAAUAAUUGUCCCAAAUGCUCAAGAGUUUCCUGUUGGGGAGAGCCAUUGUUAAGAAAACAUGUCUAUUGUAAGUUUGUGCAAAUUCUGAAUCCGUGGAGGUACAACCUAGAGGAGAGAGAGACCUGUAUCAUAACUCUAAAAGAAAUGUUU